rnacentral:lncRNA from 1 species
UCCGCCCCCAGCGUCUGCUCUGGGCCUGGGAGACCCCAUCACCCCCGCCCCCACCCCACAUAGCCCCAUUGUGAGUCCGUGUAGCUGGCCUUGUCUGUUGACUUCUCUCCAUCCCGGGGCGGGGGGGGGGGGGGGGGGGGGCCGGUUCAGGUGCCUGGGGUGGAGGGUGGAGGGGUGAGGCGGUGCGGGGCUCGGAGACCAGCCUCAGAGCUCCCCAGGCUCCUUAGACCCACUCAAGAACUUGCCAGUAAAAUGAGGGACAAUGUGCAUAUUGGAAAAUUCAAGUCCAGGCAGGUGGGCUAUAUGCAUGUUCCAGGCUGCUGUUUGCCGUGGCCCUGGAGGACCUCACUGGAGAACAAAUAUUGAUGCUUUGUUAGCGCACACAGACAUUCUCGGCAAUGCUGAUUAGCGCUUGGGGCUGAUCCGACCAAGGUCAGGGGCUUGUGCCCCCUCAAACUGCACCCAUUAGCUUCUCUUAGAGAAGCCCGGAGACGACACGCCUGGCGGUGGGAGGGGGCUUUCCAGUCCACCAGCAUGGACCCGAAUGCUCAGGCCUCCCUGCCUCUAAGGCUUUCACCUUCCAUGGCUUCAGAGGAUCGCAUGAGGUCAACACCAGCUAAGACGUGUGAAGCCCUUGACACAGAGCUCAGCAGAGACAGGAUGCUCAGUCCAUGGGAGCCAUGAUGAUGAUAAUGAUUAUUAACAUGUUCCCAAGGUGGCCUUCGUCUGCUAAGCGUCUUUUCAACUCUCUUUUUUCCAUUCCCGGGAAUGAUCGAUAAGAUGUUUCAUUUAAGUACCAAGCAAUCUAGAAACCGCGCAGGAGCACAGGCGCCAGGAAGCAGGAAAGCUUGAAAUUAACAGGCGGCCAUAGAAAGUCUCCUCUCAACGUGGACCAGCUACACUUGAAGUGCUCAAGAGCCACACUCAGCUGGUCGCUACCUUACAGAUGGCGCAGGUCCAGAAGAUGGGCCUCAGAACUGAGUCUGACCUGUUAAACGACCCUGCACACGGCUAUUGGGGGGAUUUCUUAAGUCUCUGGGUAAAGCUACGGAAAACAAAUGGUGGCUCCAGGAGCUGGUCCUUAAAGCAAUCGGUGAGUCCCAAGAUUAAAAUUCAACUGCAGCCAAAUUCUGCUAUAAACAGCUUCCCUCCACCUGGGGUCCGGGAGGCGGGCAGACGCAGUCCCCUCUCCUGGGCAUCCACCCAUGAAAGCCCCGCCUCACGGCAUCACCCAAAGCUGUCAAUUACCCGUCAUGCCCGCCCGGCUCCCAGCUACAGCAGGCUUUUACAGUCCGUCUGUAAGGCGCUCUCAAUUUGUGGCCGGACCUUCCUAAGGCUUGUUCUUACCCAGCAAUCCAAAUAAAAAUAGUGCUAUUGAUCACAAAGGCAUCAAUAACGUCAGCCCUAAAGCUACUCGUGCACAUUUUUAAUUGUCCUGUCCCUUUUUAUAUCUUUAAAUAUCACCAUAAGCUUCUAGGAGACAGGCUUCCUCUCCUUGGGAGGGAGGAAAGCGCUCUCCCCGCUCAGCUGAAAGCAGUCGGGAUUGUACCUCACACUGUUAAUGAUGGCGAGGUCCCUUUUCGUGAAGAAGAAAAUAAACCACCGGCUGACCCCACUUUGGGCCCGGUGUUAGAACGCAGAGGAAAUGCUGUCCCAUUACGCCUAAUUUCUCAUUGUUUUCCCGACUGGUUCACAUCCCAGCAAUUAUGCUUCAUUUGCUGGAACAGAGAACAGUAAAAUGCCCAGCUGGUAGGCAAUCCCCCCGUGAUUAAAGCAUGGGCCGAUCAGAAAGCUGACGUCCAAUAGAUUAAUCAAGAAAUAAGGAAGGAAUGCCUGUGUUUGAUGCUUGUGAAUCUGCACAUGUGGAUCUCCAGAUGUUUCAACUUAAUUUUUACCGCCAUAAAAACUAAGAAAGAGAAAACGGGAGUGAUGCCAACAGCCAGGCAAACGCCCCCAGCAAAGCGACCAUUCGGCAGCCUCUGGAAUCUUCUUCUCAUGUCUGGUGGAAGGCAGGCUCCUCCCCAGAGCCGUAAGCAGGGCCUUCCUGGGGCCUCUCGAAGUGUGUGCAACGUGGAGAAAAAUUAUCGGCUCCGAAAUUUGACAAGAAAGCAGCAAAAUCAAAAUUAAUAAAUGCUUCAUUAAACGCCUGCCAAAUACAGCAAUGAGGCCUCCUCGGCGCUUGUUGGAUGCAGUAUUCACGAUGCGGUCGUCAUAAAAACUUCAUUACAUUUGAGAAAACAGCUACGAGAACUCCUAAGGAUGCUAUUGGUUGUGGGGGGAAUCACAGGUAAUUCCGACUUUGAUGAAUUACCCACCACCAGAUAAUUUAAGAAGCUGAAUCAUUAAACUCC